rnacentral:lncRNA from 1 species
GCCAUGGGUUCUCUGGGUCGAUGUAGUUGAUUCAUCUUCUUGAUGCUUUACGUGGUAGACUGCGUUAUCAUGGUCAAGGAAAAAUGCAUGUGUACUAUUCCCACAUAUACUGUAUCUCCUUGUUCUAAUUGCUUUGGUCUCUAUCCAACUAUGAAAUGCAAUAGUUGUAAACACAUACAUCUACAUCGUCUAGCAAUUAUAUCGGUCAUUCUAAUGAUCAUACAACAAUAACAAUUGGUCAUAAUAUCCCAGCUAGGCUUAAUAGUUGUCUACAAUUUCUGAUGAACACGCAAUGCUCUAUGAACUAAUCACCUCAUAAUAGUAUGUGAAAUAAACUGGCUAUUUAAGCUAGAAAUGAAGAUGUUUGUAUACAGCUUCUUUGAUUAGUCAAAGAAAUAUGUGUUUUAUGGUCCAAAAAUGAAACCAGCUGAAUAAUGACAACAACAAAAAAAACAAUAAAAAUAAUUGUUAUACUCUGGAUUAGAUGCAAAAGGGAUGUCAGAAAACUGUCCUUCUAUAGUAUACUUUGAAUCUUAAGCAUGAAUUGUCCUUCGAUUGUUACAUCUGCAUAUAAAAUAAUACAGAGCUCUAAAGGAGGACAGCUAUUUGCAUGAUCGAUAUCGACAAUUGAUUGCAUACCUUGACGGGUGAUCUCUCCUUUGCUGCAACGCCUGCUGUCAUUGCAAUCGAUAUGGACAAUUGGAUACAUACCUUUAAAAGAUCACCUCGAUGCAAUAAACCUGCC